ACGAACGCUGGCGGCGUGCUUAACACAUGCAAGUCGAACGGUGAAGCGCCUUCCUUUUUGGUGGGUGUGGAUGAGUGGCGAACGGGUGAGUAACACGUGAGUAACCUGCCCCCUUCUUCUGGAUAACCGCAUGAAAGUGUGGCUAAUACGGGAUAUUCUGGGUCUGUCGCAUGAUGGGUCCGGGAAAGAUAUUGUUUCGGUGGGGGAUGGGCUCGCGGCCUAUCAGCUUGUUGGUGGGGUGACGGCCUACCAAGGCGGUGACGGGUAGCCGGCCUGAGAGGGUGGACGGUCACACUGGGACUGAGACACGGCCCAGACUCCUACGGGAGGCAGCAGUGGGGAAUAUUGCACAAUGGGCGCAAGCCUGAUGCAGCGACGCCGCGUGAGGGAUGGAGGCCUUCGGGUUGUGAACCUCUUUCGCCAGUGAAGCAGGCCUGCCUCGUUUGUGGGUGGGUUGACGGUAGCUGGAUAAGAAGCGCCGGCUAACUACGUG
rnacentral:rRNA from 1 species